UGUUUGCUGGCUGUAUAAGUCGAACGGUGUUGCUCCCAUUAUGAUUUUCUUGUUUGAUUCUCCCACGCAUGUCCAAGGCUUUAAAAUUUAGCCCCUUCGGGCAGUUCUAAUGCCUCUGUAGAGGUGCUAGUUAUUUAUGCCUUUGUAAUGGCAGUAAAGCACCGGUCAACUCUCAGCUGCCGUGCGUCAAUCACCAGGUUAUUAUUGGAUUUCCACAUUUAGAACGGCGCUGUUGGACACUGACGCGCAUAGGCGGCCGAAGAUAGAGCGUGGGUGGUGUAGAGUGGCCCAAUCGAAUAUUGGCGACAGCGGGAGGAACGGCAGGGAAGGAUUACACCUUCGAGAGCGGCGGAUGACGCACGGCGCACCACACUCAGCCAAAUAUAUAUAUUUAGCAACGUUGAGCACGAUAAAUUUGUCGUCAAGUGUGAAAGUCUUUCUCUUUGAACACUGUUUUUUUCUUCCUUUUUUUUACAAGAAUGAAUUAUUUAACUACUGAACUGGGUAUGUGCAAGUGUUAGAGUCGAAAUUUUUUAACAUCAAUUGGCCCUCCUCAUAAAUACGUAUAUGGAUUUGUUUCGAAAUUUCUACUUUAAAAAAUUUGGUCGACAUAGCAAAUUUAUAUCAUUUUUACGGUACCAUGAUUUUACAUUCAUUGUUCAUUGUUGGAGACUUAUGAAUGGAGGUAGUUGUGUGAAAUAUUGCGGCGUUCAGUUCUGCUCCCCAACUCCUUACGCCCACGACCGCCGCCGCAGUUGUCGUGGAAUAUUUUCCUGCCGUGAUCCUCUUGUGACGUCUGGGCUGGCUGCUCGCUCUGGUUCGCUCCCAUUGGAAACAGGACACGGGGAGGCUCGGAGGUGAUAAGACUGCUGCGGCCUGCCGGACUCACUCUGCUGACCGGCGGCGCGGCGGGGCGCGGGGUGACUUGCUGCCGUCUCCCUCUCUUACGUAUUUGGAUCAGCAUCGGACUUUGGCCGACGUGUCCGAAUGACGUUCAUUGGGUUCGUGAAGUAGUAGUGAUGGCUGAUCAAACACCGCACCGACAUCGCGCAGGGAUAGAGAGAGAUACAGAUAGGCCGAGCGAGAGAGACGGGGCGGGGCCGCCCACAUCGCCUCCCGAAGUCACCUCGCCCGGCGGCGGCCGGAGUCCCUUUAUUCGAAGCCCAUCGAAGGACACGAUCCGGCGGCAUAAUUACUCGUCUAAACGGCUUCCAUCUCACCUGGCGCUGCUCUUAAUUUGAAAUUGAAAACUAAACGUCUGUAUUUACUACCGCUCCAGCAGCAGGUGACAAAGUGAGGCGGUACCCUCUACCCUCUCUCAAAGUUAUUAUUAUCUAUAAUUGUUAUUAUUCUUUUUUUCCCAAAAAUGUUCUUUUUAACGAUGCGUGUGCUUCUGUGCCUUGUGCCAGUCGCCUGACGGGGAAAAAAGAGAGACUUCUAUCAUUUGUUACAGUCAGAGCGGCAGCGUGCUUCUGACGGCUGCUGUGUCAAGCGGCCCUUUUUUUCUCUCGCAUCGGUUUUCUUUCUCCCGCCGCCAGGCGUCAUCUUUCUGUCGAUCUGUAUCGAAAGUGGAUAAUACAGUCCGAUCCCCUCCCCUCACCUCCCUAUUCUGUCGAUUGCAAACGACACUACUUUCUCCGGUAGACUGAAGUCCAUAAAGCGAUACAGCCUUAUUUUUUCUUGCUGUCGAUAGCAGGCUGCCCCUAGGUCAGGUAAUAAGGCAGGUCUGGUGACCUCCAUGGGUGGCGGGUGGCCUUGUUCCUUGUUCGUUCUGUCGAGUCAAACUUAACCUCCGGUAAUUUCAGAAUUUUUCGCAGAUGCGAUCUCUCAGGUCGAUAGUUUCAGACGGCUCUGCUCUUUCAGAAGCUGCGCCCGUUCACUGUGUUAAGAACAUAAUUGUCAAUUUACGACAUUUAUUGUAAUUUUCAUUUACACAAUAUAUUGUAAACUUGUAAACAGCCCAUUUACGUUUGUCAACCAAAUGCGAAGUGGUUGUAGUUGUAAAUUUGCAAUUUCAAUUUGUAAUUUUACGCCACUCAUCGUUAAAAAAUUUCGCGUAAACCUACCGACUGUUUUUACAGUGUACAGAAUCAAACUUUGCAUUCGUUUGAAAUAUAUUUGCAAUAAAUGUUUUGUCUACAAAGAAAAGAAGCGUUUAAUUCAAACAGAAGACUUUGGUGGGGAGCCCCCAACGGGGGACCCCUUGCGCCGCCUUGCGCCCCUCACUGCGACAUGAGUCAGCCGAUUGGCCGGCGAGCGCGGCAGACAAUGGUCCUAUAUGGUAACUGGAUACCACUUGGCUGGUCCACGUCCCUCUCCCCCCUCACUCCCCCCCUC